CUGAAACCCAAUCUGGGGACAGUGCAGACUAAAUAAAAUUUCAUUUUGAUUUGGCCUCCCGCUGAGAAUGGGACUGCUUUGUUUCAGCCGACAGAACCAGCAAGCCAGAAAGGUUUUGUUUCAAAAAUAGAGAAGCUGCUUCUGACCCAAUUGAUCAAAAAUGCUGUUCUUCAGGAAAGAGUGCAAAAUGUCUUCUUUUCAAAGCAAAUGGAUUUGAGGAACGGGUCAUUGUGGUGGAGGAAGUAUUUUUAUCUGGGCCUCAGGAAACAGUGGUCUGGCUAGCAACUGCACUGGGACGGAUGAUUACAUGAACAGUAUUAACUCGGGGCAAAGCAUGCCUUCACUUACCCCUGCCCCAAAACUCCUAGACUACAAGAACUAAUCAAUGUCUGUGUCCACCUGGAAACAUCCAGCGAGCAAGGACUGUGGAAGCAACUGCCCUGAAAUGACCCUUCAAUCUGCAGUGAGGUUACCACAGAACUUUAGAGGUGGAAAUACUUGAGAAUACAGAGACACAUCCAGCACAGAUCCUUUUAACCACUGUUGUUGCUGCUCUGGUUCUUCAGCCCAAAAUGCUAGCAUGUGAAGACCUUUGAGAAGUGAAGAGGAAAAAAAUA